rnacentral:rRNA from 1 species
UACGUAGGGUCCGAGCGUUGUCCGGAAUUACUGGGCGUAAAGAGCUCGUAGGUGGUUUGUCGCGUUGUUCGUGAAAACUCACAGCUCAACUGUGGGCGUGCGGGCGAUACGGGCAGACUGGAGUACUGCAGGGGAGACUGGAAUUCCUGGUGUAGCGGUGGAAUGCGCAGAUAUCAGGAGGAACACCGGUGUCGAAGGCGGGUCUCUGGGCAGUAACUGACGCUGAGGAGCGAAAGCGUGGGGAGCGAACAGG